rnacentral:rRNA from 1 species
AGCGAACGCUGGCGGCAUGCUUAACACAUGCAAGUCGCACGGGCAGCAAUGUCAGUGGCGGACGGGUGGGUAACGCGUAGGAACGUGUCCUCAGGUGGGUGACAACCCCGGGAAACUGGGGCUAAUACCGCAUAUGGGCUGAGACCCAAAGCCGUGGGGCGCCUUUGGAGCGGCCUGCGUCCGAUUAGGUUGUUGGUAGGGGAAUGGCCUACUAAGCCUGCGAUCGGUAGCUGGUCUGAGAGGACGACCAGCCACACUGGGACUGAGACACGGCCGAGAAUCCUACGGGAGGGAGGAGAGGGGAAUAUAGGAAAAUGGGGGAAAGGCUGAUCCAGCAAGGCGGGGUAGGUGAAGAAGGUCGUCGGAUAGAAAAGCCCUUUCGACGGGGACGAUGAUGACGGUACCCGUAGAAGAAGCCCCGGCUAACUUCGUG